rnacentral:rRNA from 1 species
UACAGAGGUCUCAAGCGUUGUUCGGAUUCAUUGGGCGUAAAGAGCGUGUAGGCGGCCAGGUAGGUCUGCUGUGAAAACUCGAGGCUCAACCUCGAGACGUCGGCGGAAACCAUCUGGCUAGAGUCCGGUAGAGGAGAGUGGAAUUCCUGGUGUAGCGGUGAAAUGCGCAGAUAUCAGGAAGAACACCCGUGGCGAAGGCGGCUCUCUGGGACGGUACUGACGCUGAGACGCGAAAGCGUGGGGAGCGAACAGG